GGGACAGACUGCGCUAAGAGUGACCAAACUAAAGAGUUCCUGACAUGAUCCAGGGAUCUGGUUAGCCCUGACCAUUAUCCGAUCGCUAAGACGCUUGCACACUCCCUAAAAGCUCCAUUUGUUUAAGCCCACCUAGAAAUGUUUUUCCCUGAGGGACAGACUGCGCUAAGAGGGAACAAACUAACGAGUUCAUGACAUGGUGAGC